AGCUGUCUUCUGACAGUCAGGUGGAAGAGGGGGAGCUGUCUUCUGACAGUCAGGUGGAAGAGGGGGAGCUGUCUUCUGACAGUCAGGUGGAAGAGGGGGAGCUGUUUUCUGACAGGUGGAAGAGGGGAGCUGUCUUCUGACAGUCAGGUGGAAGAGGGGGAGCUGUCUUCUGACAGUCAGGUGGAAGAGGGGGAGCUGUCUUCUGACAGUCAGGUGGAAGAGGGGGAGCUGUCUUCUGAGGAAUGUUCGACUUUCUCACAUGUAGACACCACACUCAGACACCACACUCAGACACCACACUCAGACACCACACUCAGACACACCACAUUCAGACACACACAUUAUUAAGUCAUUUAAUGUCAUUUCAUUUGAUUUCUUGUUUUGAUUCAAUAAAAUAUUGUUACUAGUUCUA